rnacentral:rRNA from 1 species
CUACACACGUGCUACAAUGGCGCAUACAAAGAGAAGCGACCUCGCGAGAGCAAGCGGACCUACAUAAAGUGCGUCGUAGUCCGGAUUGGAGUCUGCAACUCGACUCCAUGAAGUCGGAAUCGCUAGUAAUCGUGGAUCAGAAUGCCACGGUGAAUACGUUCCCGGGCCUU